UACGUAGGGGGCUAGCGUUGUUCGGAUUUACUGGGCGUAAAGGGCGCGUAGGCGGCGUGUUAAGUCAGCUGUGAAAUCUCCAAGCUUAACUUGGAACGGUCAGCUGAUACUGAUGUGCUAGAGUGCAGAAGGGGCAACCGGAAUUCUUGGUGUAGCGGUGAAAUGCGUAGAUAUCAAGAGGAACACCUGAGGUGAAGACGGGUUGCUGGGCUGACACUGACGCUGAGGCGCGAAAGCUAGGGUAGCAAACGGG
rnacentral:rRNA from 1 species